AAAGCUCUGAUCCACUUCAAACUGGAAUAAGUCUUUCGCAUUUUAGUAAAGGUUUCCGUGGAGUGGAGCACAUGAUUGAUUUGCUGCCUUUAUUUAAUACCUAGGAGAACGAAGCUAGGG